rnacentral:rRNA from 1 species
GUGAGGAAUUUUCCGCAAUGGGCGAAAGCCCGACGGAGCAAUGCCGCGUGAAGGAUGAAGGCCUAUGGGUUGUAAACUUCUUUUCUCAGAAAAGAAUUAUGACGGUAUCUGAGGAAUAAGCAUCGGCUAACUCUGUGCCAGCAGCCGCGGUAAGACAGAGGAUGCAAGCGUUAUCCGGAAUGAUUGGGCGUAAAGCGUCUGUAGGUUGUUUAAAAAGUAUUCUGUCAAAGAUUAGGGCUUAACCCUAGAUAGGCAGAAUAAACUUUUAAGCUAGAGUUUGGUAGAGGCAGAGGGAAUUCCCGGUGGAGCGGUGAAAUGCGUAGAUAUCGGGAGGAACACCAAAGGCGAAGGCACUCUGCUGGGCCAAUACUAACACUGAGAGACGAAAGCGAGGGGAGCAAAUGGGAUUAGAAACCCCGGUAGUCC